AUGGUAAGGAACAUAAAGUACUGGAGUUUGAGAUCUAUACAUGUACUCUGAAAACAUUUCUUAUAAUUAGCAAAUAAUCUUAUUAAAACGUUGCUCAUUUGAAAUGAUCUCACAUAUGCUUUAAAUUAUUGAACAAAACAUUUACUGAAUGUGUCCAAAAGGAUCAAAUAAAGUUGCACAUAUCACUUUUCUUUUGCGGUCGGUGUAUCUGUAGCAAUGUAUACAAUUAAGGCUGAUUUUCAGUUAUAAUGUUCCAUUUUUUUGUACUGUGUGAUUAUGUAAUUAUGAAAUAUCCCCUACAUGUAAUUUAAUUAUACUUUAAUUACCAGUAUACAUACAUUCGACCCUGUAAAUAACAACCUUUUGAUUUUCAGUGGAUUACUGUUUAUUUCUCUAUAAUAAUUAACAUAUAAAGUCAUUCACAUAGAUCAGGGGUGUGUCUAGAUAUACAUUUGUAUCUUUCCAUAAUAAUGGGUUCUCUCUGUUUCACUACCUAUUUAAACUGUAAUUUGAUUUCUAAAUUUUUAUAACUGUGAUAUUUUGCCAACAUUCAGGUCUUGCUGUAUUCGCAUGAUCUAGUUCAGGUUUUUAGAUUUUGGAUCAUUUUAUGUCCUGCUGAGGAGGAGAAGAGAAUCAAUAGUUAGGCAAGCUGGGAUUUACACGACAUUGUCAAACUGUGUAUUAAGGGGAUUUACUGGUAUGCAUGAAUGAUAGACAGGGAUUGGUUUUUGGACACAUUUUCUAUGUGGCUAUAUCAAAAGCAAGGUUAGGUUAAAAAAUUUAAUGGUCAUUUAUAAGAGUUUUUAAACCUUUGGAAAGAAAGACAUUCAGAAACUUAUAGGAAAUUAGACAAAGAAGAUGAAAUCAAAACAUCAGCAUUUUUCCCUUUCUGAAUAAAAAUAUUUGAUAAAAAUAUAUUUACAUAUUUAUAUGUUCCUCCGGGGGGGGGGGGACUCAAAGGGAACUCAUUCUACAUUCCAGACUAGACAUUUUUUUUGGUGGAUUUGAUGGGUUACAUGUAUUUGUUAGUUAUCCAAUCUCCUUAACAUGAAAAGAAAUUCAAUACAUGUAGCAAUUUCUCCAUUGCUGUCAUUUAAACUACAUGUACAAGUAAUGCUGAUGAUGAUGUAAUAUCGGAGCUUGAAUUUUUUUCACUGAAAGUCAGGAUUUUUGCCCAAUUUAUGAACCAUGAAUUGUCCAUAUGCAGAUAUUGAUUCUUGUCUACCUGGUGCUGUUGUUACUUCCCUUAACAGCUGUUCAGAUGACUGUAUUAAGUUAUUAACAUGUGGCCACAGUGCAUGUGGUGAAUUUUAUUUUUGUGCCAAACAUUUAAAAAGUGUGAUCAAAUCUAGAUAUAAAGCAGUAGCAUAUUGUGUAUAUAUAGAUAUCUGAGUGAUGAUGAACACAUACGACAUGGUAUUUGAUACUUUCAAUUGGAUUUGUAUACCUGUGUGUACAAAAUUGUAAAUGGAGCUAUUGCAACAUAUGUUAGGUCAUAUUAAAGAAGAGAAAAUGAUAAUAUAUAGCUUUAAUAUAAUUGUAAAAAAAAUUUUUACUAAAUUUUUUAUCAUGUGGAAGUUUUACUGGCAUUUUCUAAAAGCUAGUAUGCAGUGAAAGUACAGAAUUUCUGAGAACAACAGAUUAAAAUUCAUAUUUACUAAACAUUUCUUUUGAAUGAUGAAUUUAAAAAAAUGGGUUACAGUGUAUUUACAAUGCAUGCUUUUUUUUUUGUCAAAAGAGUAUAAAUGAUCUCUUAAAUGCAAUGAACACAUACAUAUUUAAUUUUUAUGUAGAACAAAUUAACAUUUAUAUGUGGAUUCAAAAAAGUGUGCAUUCCUGGCUGUAAGUUUCCUUGCCGAGGUUGUAGAUUUCUUUGUGUAUAUAAGUAUGUAGUGUGCGAGUCUUGUGAUUUAUAGAUUUGAGUGGAAGCAAAAAAAAUGUGCAGUUCAUGCAGUAUUUUUAUUAAUAUGUUAAUUCUCUACUGUUUAACCAGAGUUUGAUGAACACUAUCUGCUAACUAAUUAGUAAUGACUGUAAAUUCCUUAUAUUACGUGAGUACUUAAUUCCGUGAUCUCGCGUUUUCGGAUCAAAUCGCAACAAUAUAAAAUCACGAACACAGAAUUUCCAUCCUUAUUUCUUAUAGUUUUCAACUAUUAGAAAAUAAUAGCGAGAUUUUAAAAUCCGCGAAGGAUGCCUCUUGCGAUUGUACGCGGAUAUUAAUUCCUCGCGAUAAAUUAUGAAUCUACAGUACUUGCUGUUUGUUUUUUUUUAAUUUUAACAAAUGUACAGAAAAUGGAAUGUUUGUUGUACAUUGUAUAUAUUUGUCUCUAGGAGGCAGAAAGUUUUAAAAAUUGUGAUCAAUUGAACAAUUUAUCAUUGCCUUCUUUCCUGGAUAAUAUUUAAAGGAAGUGAAGUGAUACAUGUAGAACUUGCACCAAAAUGCAUAUAAUGCAAAUUUAUGAGUUGCAUUAUUUAUAUCUGUGUUAAUUUUAAUUUUAAUAAUAUCUACUGGAAAGUGAGUGUGGUUUUUUUUUCUGUAAUAUACAAUCAUGUAUAAUGUUAAAUGAAGGAAAUACUUUUUUUCAAAGUUUAGGACUGUAAAAAUGUUUUUGAAAAGAAAAUUAAUGUAUGUUUACACCUUUAUUUUGAAUCAAUACAAUGUAUCGCUUGUGAUGAGAUGAUUUACAACUGGUUUGUUUCAUUCCAAAUAAAGUCAUUCCACAUU
rnacentral:sRNA from 1 species